rnacentral:tRNA from 1 species
GCCCCCAUAGCUUAACGGACAAAGCGCGACCCUCCGGAGGUUGAGAUUUCCGUUCAAUUCGGAAUGGGGGCA